rnacentral:lncRNA from 1 species
CCAUUUCAGAACGAACUUCGUACGGACCUGAAUUGUCCAAUUACAUGGACCAAUCGAUAUUGGAUUGAGUCCAAAACUUGGGGAACAACUUAACAUUGUGGCAGGAGUCAUUUGGUGGGGUUUUUUUUUUUGUUUUUUUUUUGUGAAAUCCAAUCUCUAGAACUAUACAAUACACCAACCACUCCAAUAGAGAAUGAAC